GGAUGAACGCUGGCGGCGUGCCUACUCCAUGCAAGUCGAGCGAACAGAUGAGGAGCUUGCUCCUCUGACGUUAGCGGCGGACGGGUGAGUAACACGUGGAUAACCUACCUAUAAGACUGGGAUAACUUCGGGAAACCGGAGCUAAUACCGGAUAAUAUAUUGAACCGCAUGGUUCAAUAGUGAAAGACGGUUUUGCUGUCACUUAUAGAUGGAUCCGCGCCGCAUUAGCUAGUUGGUAAGGUAACGGCUUACCAAGGCGACGAUGCGUAGCCGACCUGAGAGGGUGAUCGGCCACACUGGAACUGAGACACGGUCCAGACUCCUACGGGAGGCAGCAGUAGGGAAUCUUCCGCAAUGGGCGAAAGCCUGACGGAGCAACGCCGCGUGAGUGAUGAAGGUCUUCGGAUCGUAAAACUCUGUUAUUAGGGAAGAACAAAUGUGUAAGUAACUAUGCACGUCUUGACGGUACCUAAUCAGAAAGCCACGGCUAACUACGUG
rnacentral:rRNA from 1 species